rnacentral:tRNA from 1 species
AAAAAUAAGCUAAAUUAAGCUUUUGGGUUCAUACCCCAAAUAUAAAGGAAUCCC